rnacentral:rRNA from 1 species
GGAUAACAGGCUGAUACCGCCCAAGAGUUCAUAUCGACGGCGGUGUUUGGCACCUCGAUGUCGGCUCAUCACAUCCUGGGGCUGAAGUAGGUCCCAAGGGUAUGGCUGUUCGCCAUUUAAAGUGGUACGCGAGCUGGGUUUAGAACGUCGUGAGACAGUUCGGUCCCUAUCUGCCGUGGGCGCUGGAGAAUUGAGGGGGGCUGCUCCUAGUACGAGAGGACCGGAGUGGACGCAUCACUGGUGUUCGGGUUGUCAUGCCAAUGGCAUUGCCCGGUAGCUAAAUGCGGAAGAGAUAAGUGCUGAAAGCAUCUAAGCACGAAACUUGCCCCGAGAUGAGUUCUCCCUGACCCUUUAAGGG